CGGACGGAAUAGCUCAGUGGGAAGAGCAGCCGCUUCGGCGGAAGGUCGCGGGUUCGAGUCCCGCCCCGUCCGG
rnacentral:tRNA from 1 species